AUUGAACGCUGGCGGCAUGCCUUACACAUGCAAGUCGAACGGUAACAGGUCUUCGGAUGCUGACGAGUGGCGAACGGGUGAGUAAUACAUCGGAACGUGCCCGAUCGUGGGGGAUAACGGAGCGAAAGCUUUGCUAAUACCGCAUACGAUCUACGGAUGAAAGCAGGGGACCGCAAGGCCUUGCGCGGACGGAGCGGCCGAUGGCAGAUUAGGUAGUUGGUGGGAUAAAAGCUUACCAAGCCGACGAUCUGUAGCUGGUCUGAGAGGACGACCAGCCACACUGGGACUGAGACACGGCCCAGACUCCUACGGGAGGCAGCAGUGGGGAAUUUUGGACAAUGGGGGAAACCCUGAUCCAGCCAUGCCGCGUGCAGGAUGAAGGCCUUCGGGUUGUAAACUGCUUUUGUACGGAACGAAAAGGUCCUUUCUAAUAAAGAGGGCUCAUGACGGUACCGUAAGAAUAAGCACCGGCUAACUACGUGCCAGCAGCCGCGGUAAGAGUAGUACA
rnacentral:rRNA from 1 species